AGAUUACCUUAUAUUCUAUCCCCUGACAAGAGAUCUUCCAUGCAUGCAGAGCAUGAUCUUCUCUGCUCAACAUCCUGACCAAAAUGCUUAAUAUAUUAAUCCUUAAGCUGCAUGUAUGGGGCUUGCUUCCAAAUACUUUUAAUGAACCUACUACAUAAACUGGUUAGCAUGUGCUGAGAUAUUUUCGACUAGUCUCUGAGUUGACAGGUCUCUCUGGAAAUAUCAUAACUGUUGCUAAUUGGAAAUUGUAAGUUGUUUAUUUAGGUAGCAUUAAGAACCUGGGGUUUAGAUGUCUUAUCUGCUGUAACUUCUGCCUAAGCAUGACUAGAAAAGAAAAAAAAAAGAAAAAGCACUGGAUGAUUCCUACAUCCUCUCCUGAAACUGGAGGCAGCAGCAUCUGUCUACUGAUGUCAUUCUCAUAAGCAUGUGGAACAGCAGGAUCAUAGUCUAUCUCUGUCUAGCCACAGUGUUUUAAAAUCUACUAAAGAAGCAACAGACCUGAGCCAGCCAAACAGUAAAGCUGACAGAGCCAAGGCAGAAACUGUGGAAGCUGAAAGCUGUGAUGACUUUAAAAGCUUAUUUCUACUGUCUUAAUUCCAUAUAGCCUGUUGUCGAUAGAGAUCAGCUAUUUGCUCUCACAGAUUUACUCCUAUCCUGUUUAGUUUUUUUUUUUUUUUUCACCUAUCUAAUUCCUCUCAGAACUCCACUGAAGAGAUUUAAGGAACAAAUAAAGUAAAUAAUAGCAAUGCUAACAGAGAUAAUAUUUGCUACUACCACGUUGUUUGCUGUUCUUGUAUGUUCAUCUUUUCUGCUGCCCUUUGUCUGUCCUUUGUAUGCUGUUUCUAAUUUCUGUGGUCCUGUUAUUUUCUCUGAUUGUAUAUUUAUAUAAGUGUGGUAAAUUAUAUGUUUCUUAGUGGUUCUUAAGGCACGGUAUGAGCUUCUAUUAGGUCUGUACAGUAUAUGCAUACCAAAUUUCAAAAUCAAUGCAUUUCAAAAAUCAGACUUUGAGGGAGAGAAUAGAGAGUCAGAGAUUGUGAUGACAAAGAGAAGCAGGAUUUUUCUCUGUAUUGGAUGAGACAAAAUUGUUUUUUUUUAUAUGUGUUCUUGGGUUUAGAUACACAUUGUUACACUAUUUAGUCUUGAAAGGCAGACUGCAGAACAGGGUUUCAUGUGUAAGUCUACAGAUAAGUGCAUUCUUCUUUGAAAUUUAGUCCAAGAUGUAGACUGUCAUUUAAAAAUUGUGGUCUCAUGCUACACAUAUUAUUUGUCAUAAUGUAUCUUGUAUAGUGACUGAUUUAUGCUGUACAUAAAAAGUAAUUUGAAAAUUACUCCAUGCUAUUUAUUAUAUGUAUUCUAUUUUUCACACAUGUAGUGAAGGCAGAAAGGUGGCAUGUUCAGCCUCUGAAGGACUUUCAAGCUUUAUAUCAUAGUAUCACAAUCACUAGCAAUGAUUUAAUUUUGAUUGUACAUUGAUCUUCUAAGUUAGGUGAUUAUUUUUUCUCCUACAUGUGAAUGUAAUGAUAUUCUAACAUAGAUGUAUGUUAGAAUCACUGAAUCAAAGAAUAAUUUGAGCUGAAAGAGACCUCUUGAUGUUCUUUGAUAUAACUCUCUGCUUGAAGCAGUGUCACCUUAGAUCAGGUUGCUCAAGAUUUGUCCACUUGGGUUUUAAAUAUCUCCAGUUCUCUGUAUGAGACAGGCAUUUAGUCUCUUAUUAGAGACUUAGACCUGUUAAGUAAUUUGUCCAUUGGUGUGGCUCCUGAUUUCUUAUUGACAGUGUUAUGCUUUUGACUGGGAAGAAUAUUUCAGGUUUGUUCACAUCCCCUUUGCUGGAGGAAAGAUGUCAAGCAGAGGAUGAGCAGACCUUGGCAAGAUGGACCCCUCUUGUCUCCAAUGCUCUCAGACAAGGCUGUUUUGAUGGUAACACAACUCUUUAUCUCAUUUUGUCAGGAGGGCAAACACUGACUCUGUUUUUGAGUAACAGUUCUUGAUGAGAGGUGUGCUCUAAUGGCAGCAUUAUAUUUUAGACUUGGGAUGUUCAAAUCUUGAAGUUAGGAAUCGGAGCAUGUGAGGUCCUUCGGGGGGAGUUCCUUUGUGCCCUGCAGCAGCAACAUGGCAUCAUCAAAACCUUUCUGUCAUGGAUAGGAAGUGGCCCUGGGGAGCUGUCCACCCCUCAAUGGUUUGGACAAAGUUCACUCAGCCAACUCAGAGGAAAGAUAAGAUUUCCCCGUGCUAAGACCUAAAACUCUGUGAAUAACUAGAGGCAUCACUUCCUGAUCCUGCAGAGCACUGAUGAUCAGUGAGGAGAUUCAUAAAUGUCCUGACUGUGCGCUCGUCCAGUUAAUCCCGUGGUUACCACCAUCUGGAGGCUAAUCCUGCGGGAUGUUGCACAGCUGAGCCUUGGGUAGUCUGGAGAUGCUGGGACACACACCUAUCUCUUGGACUCUAGCACCUCUGUAUGGGGUGUGGCCUGAGCACAUGGUUUCACAGAUAUGUUCCGUAGCUAAUUCUCCGUCCAAGAUGUCGUGCAUAUUUCGGAAAGACUGAAACUUCCCUCAAAUUCCAGCUUCUUUUUUUUGGCUUCAUGAUGUUUUCCGAAUUUGAAGUGGUGAAACCAUGAGUGUUGAUCUCCUCUUGGCUCCAUCUGCUGCUUCUUUAAAUGCUGUUUGGCACCAUUCUGUUCAGCAAUGGACACAAACAAGACAAGUGUCUCACAAUCUAAUACAGGAAUGUUUUGUAGCAUGUUGCCAAGGUUAAGGCAUGUUGUUUUGGUCUAUAGCAUGAGAAUCAGGAAGGGCACACAAGGCCAUGAAGCCUCCAGGCUGAAGAAACCAGAUCUGCCAGGAUUUAUUUUUAUGUUUUAUAUAGGAACAAAACUCUGGCAUUCACUGUUUUCCAGUUCAUGCUUGCACUUUUUUUUUCAUAAGUAAACUCUUUAGGCUUCAGCCCUUCCAACAGAACCCCACAAGGAAUACUGGAUGGUAAACAGCAUAUAUGUAGCCAGGAAGAUCAAUAGACUGAGACUGGAAUGUGAAACGCAACAGUAAAGAUAUGUGGGAGACCUUGUUCUCCAUUGCUACAAAGAUAAGACACAAUUUGGAAUUAAGCAGUGGCCAGGACUCCUCUAUAUUCAGUGCUCUUCCAAAAGCACAAAAAACACAAGUCCUGUCCCAAAAUUAUCUGAGAAAAGAACUGAGAUAGGGGCAUGAAAAGAUAUGAAAAUAAGGUGGAGCUGUGACACAAUAUUAUCCAGCAUAAUAUGCAAGCUAUCUCCCUCAUUAUGUAAGAGUACAGAAAAUUUCCUAGCACUGGAUUCAGUCUAUGUACUACAGAAAAUAUCCUUUUUUCAGGCAGUCAUGAAGUGGAAGAAGACAAGUAAGCAUUUCAAACUACUAUCAGUACAGAAGCACUGACCAGUAAAUUAAAAAAUUUUGAGAACUUGUGUGCAGGAUGAUCUGUUGUGGCAGAAAAAUCAUGCUUCAAAUGAAAAAGUAAUAGUAGCAACACAUGUCAGUGAUAAAUACAAGAGAGAGAGAAUAUAGAAAAGCUGAGCUCUGAAGAAUCAAGAAAAUAAAUGUUUGUGUUAAUGCCAUAAAAAAAAUUAUUUAAAUGGGUUUGGAGAAGAGAGGAGAAAAAUUACCUGAUUUCAAGAGGUUAACUUCAACAUUUAAUGAACAUUAAUCCAGGAAGUCCUACCUCCCUUUACAAGAGCCAUUAGUAGAGUGAAUUUCUGUCAAAAUCUAGCAUCUAAUACCAAAAAGUGUUAACUUAUCUGCUUCAACCAACAAAUAAAUCAACCUACAAAAACAUUUUCCAACUACUGUUUUUUGGAAUGACUCCCAAAUAUAUUAAUGGCAUGAGUUCUUUCAACUGGAGUCUUUUGGAAGGGCUCCCAAUAAAGUUAAUGACACAAAGUUCUUUCAACUAGUGUCUUUUGGAAUGUGUCCCCAUAAUAUUAUUGUAAUGCCCUCAGCUCAUUCAUCUUUGUAACAUCAUAGUAAUUACACAUUCAUUUUCCUAUAUAUUGAACUAACUACCUUUCUUUGAAAUAAAGCAAAACUUUAGGUAAUUAAACAGCAUUUUGAUUUAAACUAUAUUCAAUACUAAUAUAUGCAGUGUUUACAGCCAUAGAGAACUGAAUUAGUAAAACAAAAAUUUCAUUAAACUGAAAAAAAUUGAAAUUUUCAGACAGAGUAUAUGCUUUAAUGAGCAACUGUAUUAUAGGAAUUCAGGUAUGCAGAAUGUGAUGCAAAGACUUCUUUCAUAAUUUACCCAACUGAAUUGUCAAGCUAAUUCACAUAACAAAAUAGUCUGGCUUUUUUGUGUGGCUACAUGGAAAAGAGUCAUAAAAGACAAUAUAUCUUUCAACCAUUUUAAAGUGCCGAUCUCUGAAAUGCCUAAGUUGUUAUGAGGUGAACUUAUUCUUU